rnacentral:ncRNA from 2 species
GGCACACAUAACCCACCAGGUGUUCCGCCCCGACGCACUCGGGCGUGGAAUUAAACGGGAAGCAGGUGAGAAACCUGCGCUGCCCCCGCAACGGUAAGGGAAGGGUCGCCGGCCAGCCAUGGCCUGCGGCGCCGCGAGACACACACGCCACUGCGCAUUCGCGUGGGAAGGCGUCUCGCGGGAUCGAUCCGAUCGAUACUCCCCGAGCCCGGAGACCGGCCUGACGGGUUGCAACCGG